UUAAAGGCUGAUGUCAAGUUCAACGCUGAUGAAUCUGGCACAAGCUCUUGCUUACCACAGAACUUGCUACGAGGAGAUGCCAUUACAGGAACUGCAAGCAACACAAGAACAGCAAACCAUUCAGAAUUUAUGCGACACCCUUCGGACAAUCCUUCGACUGUAAGAUUUUGAUUGAUUGCUUCAACGACCGCUCUAACUGGCUGGUUUUUGCGUGGCUUGCUGCUCUCUUGUAUCUCCUGUCUCAUCCUUAAACCACUUCCAUUUAUAGAUAUUUAGGUAAUGGAGGAGAUGAGACAGUUUUUGUUUAUUACAGAACAUCAUGCAUGUUCUUCCUGUACUACUACUAACUUCCAAGUUAUUUGGUAACAGAACAAGCAAGUUGUUCUUCA